rnacentral:rRNA from 1 species
GAUGAACGCUGGCGGCGUGCCUAAUACAUGCAAGUCGAGCGAACGGACGAGAAGCUUGCUUUUCUGAUGUUAGCGGCGGACGGGUGAGUAACACGUGGAUAACCUACCUAUAAGACUGGGAUAACUUCGGGAAACCGGAGCUAAUACCGGAUAAUAUUUUGAACCGCAUGGUUCAAAAGUGAAAGACGGUCUUGCUGUCACUUAUAGAUGGAUCCGCGCUGCAUUAGCUAGUUGGUAAGGUAACGGCUUACCAAGGCAACGAUGCAUAGCCGACCUGAGAGGGUGAUAGGCCACACUGGAGCUGAGACACGGUCCAGACUCCUACGGGAGGCAGCAGUAGGGAAUCUUCCGCAGAAGGCGAAAGCCUGACGGAGCAACGCCGCGUGAGUGAUGGAGGUCUUCGGAUCGUAAUACUCUGUUAUUAGGGAAGAACAUAUGUGUAAGGAACUGUGCACAUCUUGACGGUACCUAAUCAGAAAGCCACGGCUAACUACGUG